GAUGAAGAACGCAGCGAAAUGCGAUAAGUAAUGUGAAUUGCAGAAUUCAGUGAAUCAUCGAAUGUUUGAACGCACCUUGCGCCCUUUGGCUAUUCCGAAGGGCAUGCCUGUUUGAGUAUCGUGAACACCUCAACUCUCAUGGUUUGCCAUGAUGAGCUUGGACUUUGGGGGUUUUGCUGGCCUUUGGUCGGCUCCUCUCAAACGGAUCAGCUUUCCAGUGUUUGGUGGCGUCACGGGUGUGAUAACUAUCUACGCCUGUGGUUUUCUGCCAGAUAACCUUCAGCGAUGGAGGUUCGCUGGGGCUCAUAAAUGUCUCUCUUCAGUGGAGACAGCUUUUUGGACGUUUGAUCUCAAAUCAGGUAGGACUACCCGCUGAACUUAAGCAUAUCAAUAAGCGGAGGA
rnacentral:misc_RNA from 1 species